rnacentral:pre_miRNA from 1 species
ACCUAGAGCAAUCUGUCUUUAAGUAGUGGCAAAUUACUCUGAAAAAAUGAAUCCAGAUAGUUUUCCCUUCAAGUCAAAUAUCUUAU